UUGCGUCGCCCUCCUUGGGCGUUUCCUCCCUAGACUUGGGCUGCGCUCACGCGCGGCCCUUUUUUCUGUCCGGU
rnacentral:sRNA from 1 species